GGAGCCUGCGGUUUAAGUUGGAUUCAACGCCGGAAAUCUCACCGGGGCGACAGCAAUAUGAAGGUCAGGCUGAAGACCUUACCCGAUUAGCUGAGAGGUGGUGCAUGGCCGUCGUCAGUUCGUACUGUGAAGCAUCCUGUUAAGUCAGGCAACGAGCGAGACCCACGUCCACAGUUGCCAGCAUACCCUCCGGGGUGAUGGGUACACUGUGGAGACCGCCGCUGCUAAAGCGGAGGAAGGAGUGGGCAACGGUAGGUCAGUAUGCCCCGAAUCUCCCGGGCUACACGCGGGCUACAAUGGUUGGUACAAUGGGCAUCUACCCCGAAAGGGGAAGGAAAUCUCUUAAAGCCAAUCGUAGUUCGGAUUGAGGGCUGCAACUCGCCCUCAUGAAGCUGGAAUCCGUAGUAAUCGCGUUUCAACAGAACGCGGUGAAUACGUCCCUGCUCCUU
rnacentral:rRNA from 1 species